ensembl:lncRNA
AAAGAUGCAGAACUGAGGCAGGUACAAAAAGAAGUUGAGAACCUUCUUUUAGAAAGAAACCCCCUCCUAAAAGCCUCUGAGGAAGAAAAGGAGCGUACUCGUUUACAGGUGAGGAGAACGACACCACCCUGCCUGGGAGCCUGAUGGUGUUUUUGCUGAUUAUUAAUUUGUUGUUGUUCAUUUGCUUGUGAAUGUUUAGAAAGAACAACUGGUGAAUCAGCAGAUUGUGAUUGAGCGCCUUUGCAGCAAACUCAUGACCUUUCAGGGAACAACCUCAGGGGCAGCCAUGGAAGCAAGGGCUUCUGGGUACAAGGGCAAGAGACCCAACAGUGUCCCACUGAUCGGACUCAGCCGUGUGUGUAGGCUUCCCAGGAAGAUUCACUCUAGUCCACCUGCCUACUCUCUGGAGAGGGUGAUGGCAGAGUUCAAGAUGCGUGGUCACCUCCUGCUGGCUGAGAUGGAGGAAAAAGAUGAAGUGCACCGUCCAUUCAUGAAACAGCAGGCACAGACUAAAGACAGUGUUCGUGAGGAUGAGGAGGAGGAUGGUGAUUUGAGCAGAGUGGGAUUUAGACACUCUUUAAACCGAACAUGGACCAGCCGACACAAAAAGUCAGCUCUGACAGAGAAAAUCGUAGCACCAGAUAAAACCUGUGAUGGAAGCCCGGUAUUACAACCACAUCAGCAAGCCACAGGUACACUUUUCUCAUUCUUUUGUAUCGCCUUUUGCCCUUCAUCUGGUGUGACAGUCUCAAAAGAUGUUUCAUAUCCAAAGGUUUUUUUUCUUUUUAUAAUGUCUGCAGCUUCUUUCUUCUUCUCAGGGAAGAGUGAAAACCAAAGUCAAAUGAGAAAGGCGAGAAUAACAGCCCGCACUACAGAGAGAAGAAUUCAGGAUCUGUCAGUCAACAUGCGCAUGAAGGAGGAGCUCAUCAAAGUGCUUGACAAAACUGGUGUGUUUACAUAAUUACAUACAGGACUGUGUAUUCAUGCAAGUUAAGAACAAUGUAAAACACUGGCUGAUUUGUUUGUGAAUCAGGGCAACUCUAACAUGUUUAUGUUUUUUUUCCACACUGCCAACAACAGUAAAACACAAGAAAGUGUUUUUGUGUCAUUUUAUGUGACAGACAAGGAAACUCUGUUAGUGGACAGACUCAGCAGACACAGUGCUGGUGGUGAAGAAGCCAGCGUGCUGCAGAGACUUUCCAAGCAGAACCAGCAGGUCCGAGCGGAGAUGUAUCGAAGCCUGCAACACAUGAGGCUGCAGAGAGCUCAGCUUCAGAGCAGCCUGAGAGAGGCCACCGAUGACAGGACAGAGCUCCACCAAAACGGGGUUAGUGCUACAGAUUUGAAAAUCAAACUCAAAGUUUGUGAACAAUCAUCAGCUGCCAUCAGCUCUUUGAAAUGUUGGGGACAGCUGACGCUUAGAGAAAUGCUUUUGUUGACAGGAACACGGUGCAGAUUCGAUCGUUUGUGGAGGUGCUCACCCUGAAGGGACAAACAAAAAGGUAACAUGCUGUCACAUGUUUAUGCCACUUUAAAUUCCUCAAAGGUUUAUUUUUCAUCAUUCAUGUUGACUGUUUCUUUCACAGACUGUAUAUAAAGUGGUUUCUUAUACAACAUCUGACUUUUUCUUCCUCUGUGUCUUUGCUGCAGCUGCAUGACAGUAGUUGGUUGGAGAAGGAGGAAGAAGAGGUUCUUCAGAAGAGGGCAGACCUGCAGGUGCUGGAGGAGGAGCUGAUGAAGAGAGAGGAGGUGCUGUUGCGCAGGGAGGCCUGUCUGCAAAAGAAAAAUAAACUAGAAAUCAAGAAGUUACGCUCCA